rnacentral:rRNA from 1 species
UACGUAGGGUGCGAGCGUUGUCCGGAUUUAUUGGGCGUAAAGGGCUCGUAGGCGGCGUGUCGCGUCGGGAGUGAAAGCCCGUUGCUUAACGGCGGGUUGGCUUUCGGUACGGGCAUGCUGGAGUGCGGCAGGGGAGACUGGGAUUCCUGGUGUUGCGGUGGAAUGCGCAGAUAUCAGGAGGAACACCGGUGGCGAAGGCGGGUCUCUGGGCCGUUACUGACGCUGAGGAGCGAAAGCGUGGGGAGCGAACAGG